CUAUGAUGUACACAAUCUUCACGUGGUGUCUCGUCUAGUCCAGACUCAAGAGAUAUUGAUUCCACUGUUCUUAGAACAUUAAGUGGCAAGAGUCAUCUAAUGAGCAUUUAGAGAGACAAGAGGCAGGCUGCCCACCCAGAAGCACCAUCUCACCCAUCAGGAAUAGCCCCCAAGUUAAGGAUCCCAGAGAUUCCACGCAAGCAGCGACAUGGAAAAGAAGCUGAUGCUACAGAGGGAUAUGAAUGCAGGAAGAGAUGGAAGAUGCCCACGACUGAGAAAGUCUCCGAAUUUAUCUUUGAAGCAAAGUUUUCUGCUCUGAUAAAGGUUCUCCAUUAGAUAAAAAACUGUGGAAUUCCACAAGGCUUGCAUUUCAGCUUAGGAAGCCAAGAGAGGGCCCAUCCUUCAGGGGUGAGCUUUCCCGAGAGCCCUGUGGCUGAUCAACAGCUGACUCCUGGAGUCCUGCCCCGCCGGCUGACAGUAAGUGCCCAGACACAGAGCAGACCUGUCCCCUGCAUCAGCCAGCCUUGCCCUCCUCCUUUCCCAGACAGAAAGGGACUCCAAGGUAGUCAGUGCAGACCCAGUGUGACCCAGGGACGGCUUCUGGCAUGCGCUUCUCUUUUCCCUCCAUCUGUUUGUUGAGUUCUUAUAGCCUGGAGAACUGGAAAAUAUCCCUGAAGAAAUAGACCUAUCCUCUUUCUUGCCAGGAGACACUAUAAUUUAA
rnacentral:lncRNA from 1 species